UCUUAUAUUAAAAAACAUUUUUUUUACGGUGUUUAAAAUUAAAAUCUUCAAAAAUUAAUUAUAAUUUAUAUUGAUAAAGUAUUCAAUCAUUGUGAAAUUUUCAGUUUUAUUAUUGCAGAAUUUCAUUUUUUUUUCUUUGACCAAAAAUUACAAUUAAAUAUGGAGUAUGUGAAUCAAAAAGAUAAAACCUAUUUUCUCCAAAAAUGGAAAGACGAAAACAAGAACAAGCUCUAUCCCUCUUUUUUUUUUUUUUUCUUUCCUCCAGAUUCCACUCACGAUUAUUUGCUCAGAAGCUGGUCAAUUCUUCAAUUUCCUUUACUCAAAAUUACAAAAUUUAUUCUGCUUAAUUAUAUCAUCAUAAAUUGCGAUGAUUUUAACAUAUUUAUCGAUUCAUUGGCUGGCUAAUUGCUAUAAUUUCCGAAUAUUAAUAUCAUACUCAUUAUAAUUUGUUUAUCCUUAGGUUUGAUUUCAAAUGCUGGGCAAUUUGGAUUUUUCCCUUCUAUCCCCGAUAACCCUAAUUUUCAAUUGGGAAGCUACUUGAUGAUUGGGCAUGAGGCGAUACGCUGAUAGCCUGAUACAUCAGGUAAAAGGGACAUUUUUGGAUCUCAGGGUAUAAUACUCCUUUUCAUGCUUCAGUUUCGUGGUUCCUUGCUAUGAAUUCUCUUUAACCUUUUAUGUAUAUGCAACUGUAUCAGACCCACUACCUGGUGAAAAUUUGAGCAGCCAAUCCUGUCGGGUCUUCAUGGUCUCGCAUUGCAGCUAUCGCCUUUUUGAUAAAGAUACGGCAUUCCAGUCAUAUGAAGAAUUACAUUAUUACCCAUUUGCUUCUGUUCUUCUCCCUGGUUUUAACUGGAAAGUUGUUGGAACACCCCAGUUGCAGAAUUGGAUUUUCUGAUAGAAAAUAACUGUUGUUUUCAAUGGAAAGAUGACAUAGAUAGUAAAAGAAUUAGUCAGACGACAACGGAGGAUUUUUUUUUUUUUUUUUUUUUUUUUUUUU